AGCUUUAUAGUCAAUAAUGAUAUUAGACUGCAAUUCUAAAGGAGUAAAUAAAUUACUAAGGCUU
rnacentral:tRNA from 1 species